rnacentral:rRNA from 1 species
UGGGGAAUUUUGGACAAUGGGCGAAAGCCUGAUCCAGCAAUGCCGCGUGUGUGAAGAAGGCCUUCGGGUUGUAAAGCACUUUUGUCCGGAAAGAAAUCCUUGGCUCUAAUACAGUCGGGGGAUGACGGUACCGGAAGAAUAAGCACCGGCUAACUACGUGCCAGCAGCCGCGGUAAUACGUAGGGUGCAAGCGUUAAUCGGAAUUACUGGGCGUAAAGCGUGCGCAGGCGGUUUGCUAAGACCGAUGUGAAAUCCCCGGGCUCAACCUGGGAACUGCAUUGGUGACUGGCAGGCUAGAGUAUGGCAGAGGGGGAUAGAAUUCCACGUGUAGCAGUGAAAUGCGUAGAGAUGUGGAGGAAUACCGAUGGCGAAGGCAGCCCCCUGGGCCAAUACUGACGCUCAUGCACGAAAGCGUGGGGAGCAAACAGGAUUAGAUACCCUGGUAGUCCACGCCCUAAACGAUGUCAACUAGUUGUUGGGGAUUCAUUUCCUUAGUAACGUAGCUAACGCGUGAAGUUGACCGCCUGGGGAGUACGGUCGCAAGAUUAAACUCAAAUGAAUUGACGGGGUCAUAGCUGUUUCCU